rnacentral:rRNA from 1 species
CCUACGGGGCGCAGCAGUGAGGAAUAUUGGUCAAUGGGCGCGAGCCUGAACCAGCCAAGUAGCGUGAAGGAUGACUGCCCUACGGGUUGUAAACUUCUUUUAUAAAGGAAUAAAGUGAGGCACGUGUGCCUUUUUGUAUGUACUUUAUGAAUAAGGAUCGGCUAACUCCGUGCCAGCAGCCGCGGUAAUACGGAGGAUCCGAGCGCUAUCCGGAUUUAUUCGGUUUAAAGCGAGCGCAGAUGGGUUGUUACGUCAGUUGUGAACGUUUGCGCCUCCACCG